GAAUGCUGACAUAAGUAACGAUAAAGCGGGUGAAAAGCCCGCUCGCCGGAAGACCAAGGGUUCCUGUCCAACGUUAAUCGGGGCAGGGUGAGUCGACCCCUAAGGCGAGGCCGAAAGGCGUAGUCGAUGGGAAACGGGUUAAUAUUCCCGUACUUGGUGUUACUGCGAAGGGGGGACGGAGAAGGCUAUGUUGGCCGGGCGACGGUUGUCCCGGUUUAAGCGUGUAGGUGUGUGUUCCAGGUAAAUCCGGUUCACUUUAACACUGAGGCGUGACGACGAGGCACUACGGUGCUGAAGCAACAAAUGCCCUGCUUCCAGGAAAAGCCUCUAAGCAUCAGGUAACAUCAAAUCGUACCCCAAACCGACACAGGUGGUCAGGUAGAGAAUACCAAGGCGCUUGAGAGAACUCGGGUGAAGGAACUAGGCAAAAUGGUGCCGUAACUUCGGGAGAAGGCACGCUGACACGUAGGUGAAGUGAUUUACUCAUGGAGCUGAAGUCAGUCGAAGAUACCAGCUGGCUGCAACUGUUUAUUAAAAACACAGCACUGUGCAAACACGAAAGUGGACGUAUACGGUGUGACGCCUGCCCGGUGCCGGAAGGUUAAUUGAUGGGGUCAGCGCAAGCGAAGCUCCUGAUCGAAGCCCCGGUAAACGGCGGCCGUAACUAUAACGGUCCUAAGGUAGCGAAAUUCCUUGUCGGGUAAGUUCCGACCUGCACGAAUGGCGUAAUGAUGGCCAGGCUGUCUCCACCCGAGACUCAGUGAAAUUGAACUCGCUGUGAAGAUGCAGUGUACCCGCGGCAAGACGGAAAGACCCCGUGAACCUUUACUAUAGCUUGACACUGAACAUUGAGCCUUGAUGUGUAGGAUAGGUGGGAGGCUUUGAAGCGUGGACGC
rnacentral:rRNA from 1 species